GAAGCUGGAUUCGCUAGUAAUCGCGCAUCAGCCAUGGCGCGGUGAAUACGUUCCCGGGCCUUGUACACACCGCCCGUCAAGCCAUGAAAGCCGGGGGGCGCCUGAAGUCCGUGACCGCGAGGGUCGGCCUAGGGUGAAACCGGUGAUUGGGGCUAAGUCGUAACAAGGUAUC
rnacentral:rRNA from 1 species